GGUCAAGUUAUUAAGGGUGCAGGGCGGAUGCCUUGGCACUAGGAGCCGAUGAAGGACGUGAUAAGCUGCGAUAAGCUUCGGGGAGUUGCACGUAAACUUUGAUCCGAAGAUUUCCGAAUGAGGAAACUCACUUAGAGUAAUGUCUAAGUAUCAUUAAGUGAAUACAUAGCUUAAUGAGGGGAACUCAGGGAACUGAAACAUCUAAGUACCUGAAGGAAGAGAAAGAAAUUCGAUUCCGUAAGUAGCGGCGAGCGAACGCGGAUUAGCCCAAACCAAUAAAGUUUUCUUUAUUGGGGUUGCGGACAUAUCAUAACGAAGAGGUAUCGUAAUUGAAGAGGUUUGGAAAGACCCACCACAGAAGGUAAUAGUCCUGUAUGUUAAACGAGAAGACUUCAGAUAUGAUCCAGAGUACCACGGGACACGUGAAACCCUGUGGGAAGCAGGAGGGACCACCCUCCAAGGCUAAAUACUACCUAGUGACCGAUAGCGUAUAGUACCGUGAGGGAAAGGUGAAAAGAACCCCGGGAGGGGAGUGAAAUAGAACCUGAAACCCUGCACUUACAAGCUGUGGAAGCACAUUUCUUGUGUGACCGCGUACUUUUUGUAGAACGGGCCAACGAGUUACGUUAAGUAGCAAGGUUAAGCACUUAAGGUGCGGAGCCGUAGCGAAAGCGAGUUUUAACUGAGCGUUCAGUUACUUGACGUAGACCCGAAACCGGGCGACCUACCCAUGAGCAGGAUGAAGCGAAAGUAAAAUUUCGUGGAGGUCCGAACCCACGAGCGUUGAAAAGCUCGGGGAUGACUUGUGGGUAGCGGUGAAAUUCCAAUCGAGCCCGGAGAUAGCUGGUUCUCCCCGAAAUAGCUUUAGGGCUAGCCUCAAGGUGAGAGAUACGGAGGUAGAGCACUGAAUGUCCUAGGGGGUAUUGCACCUACCGAAGACUAUCAAACUCCGAAUGCCGUCAUCUUAUACUUGGGAGUCAGACUGUGGGUGAUAAGAUUCAUAGUCGAAAGGGCAACAGCCCAGAUCGUCAGCUAAGGUCCCUAAAUGUAAGUUAAGUGGUAAAGGAUGUGGGAUUGCACAGACAACCAGGAUGUUGGCUUAGAAGCAGCCACUCAUUCAAAGAGUGCGUAAUAGCUCACUGGUCGAGUGAUCCUGCGCCGAAGAUUUCCGGGGCUAAAACUUACUACCGAAGCUACGGCAUCAGUAAUGAUGGGUAGGGGAGCUUCCCAUACGGGUUGAAGCAUGACCGUAAGGACAUGUGGACAGUAUGGGAGUGAGAAUGUUGGCAUGAGUAGCGAGAUGUGGGUGAGAAUCCCACAGGCCGUAAACCCAAGGUUUCCAGGGGAAGGUUCGUCCGCCCUGGGUUAGUCGGGACCUAAGCUGAGGCCGAAAGGCGUAGGUGAUGGACAACAGGUUGAUAUUCCUGUACUACCGAUAACCGUUUGAGAGAAGGGAUGACACAGUAGGAUAAGCUAAGCACACUGUUGGUUAUGUGUGCCCAAGCAUUGAGG
rnacentral:rRNA from 1 species